CAUUCUCAAAAAAUUAUUCGAUCAUAGAUGCAGUUUUUAUGUGAGCUGCUUCAAUCUUAGGACAGUAAUAGCUACCAAUAGAACUUUUCUUAUUAACCAACUGUGAAAAGCAGAACCAACAUUUAGGACCAAGAGUGGCAGAAAAAGUGUGUUCAGGGAUUCAUCACUGUGUUGAUCUUGAAGGGUCAAUUGUGUGCGUAUUCAUGCUAUGGUAUUUUGGCCGUCUUUGGAACAUAUAAAAAAGUGCCAGUUUGACUGGAUCAUACCGAUUUACUCUGAGGGAUAUCACAUCGCGAACGUAUCAGCACGGAAGACAUUGAGCUUCAGCAGCAAACCAGAUUGAGAUUAUUCGUGAAACUGUACAAAACGAAAUGAAAGUAAAAGUGACAAGAGUGGGUUGCAUCAUCGUGCUAAACAUAGUUGCUGCACUCAGCCAAUCAGCAGCAGCACAAAAUUGCACACAAGAUGCAUAUUACGACACUGGAACUGAAGACUGCCAGCCCUGUCUUGAAAUUUGCCGCUUAUCUGACGAUGGAUGCAGACGCCAUUGUCCAGAAUUCGACAAAAGAACAAAAGCAGAGAGCUGCGGCAAAGACACAUACUACGAUCCCAAAGUCGAGUCUUGUCAGCCGUGUCGAGAGGUUUGCCCAUCUUUGGAUGACAGCUGCUCGAAACUUUGUCCAGACAUGGUUACACCUACUACUCCUAGUCCUACACUCAGUCCAACUACAGGAGGAGAAAUGACUAAUACAACGACAUGGACCACAGUAUUAACUUCUGGCACGCCCCCAUGGCUUGUAUGGAUCAUAGCACUAAUUGUCAUUUUGGCCGCAAUAUUAGGCUUAAUAGUAUUCAUUAUGUGGUACCGUGGUUGUCUGAAUAUACCUACAUUUGGAUGUCAGCAAUGUUGUACUCGAGAACAGGGGUCAGCUAAUGAAAACACAAAAACUCCUGAACAAGUAGCUAAAAUUGACAUGACUCCCAGUGGUGACAGUGCAGCAGAAAACUUUAAAAAAGGAAUUGCUGAAGUUGAUGAUAUUUAUGGUUGCCCUCUGAUAGUGUUAGGGGAAAAUCAUACUGCUAGUCCUACAACUGGGCACACCAAUGACAGUUUUGAUGCCCAGCUUAGAAUUUAAUUUCAGGUAUGUUUAUAGAUAUUGAGGACCACACGCUCCAAACAGAGAAAUGGAUUGCUAUUCAUUCUUAUUACAAACUUUUAAAAAUCUCCAUGAUCCAUCCACGCAAUGGGGCAACCCCUCAAGUAAGUUGAAUUUGUAUAUUUUUGGAAUGCCAUUCAAGAGUGAAGUCUGACAGGAACUCUGGUUGAUGCUGUUGUUAUCUAUAAUCCAUACUUGAUAAAUUGCAUAUGUAUGUACAUGUAUGUAACGUUUGAAUGAAGUUUUCAUACGAUGGCCUGGUUCAGCUAGUAAAGCAGUCAUGCAUGAACCACUGAGAAUUUGAUGAAUGAAAUGGACAGUGGCCAAGUACUUCAUAUACGUGUGCAUGCAUAUACUAUCACUGUAUAUACCAUAUGUGUGUUACAUAUACUGUUAGUUAUCCAUAGUAGUGUACUUUAACGAAUAAUCAUUCCAUCGAUUUUGAUACCAACAUAUUCAUCACAAUGAGAGACAGCAUUGUCCCAGUAAGAAAUUCUUUACACUGGGAAAUACUCUCUGUAACAAUAAUUUCAACUUUUUUUUUCUCCACCAUAUAUUUUCGCAAUGGUCUGUGAACACGAAAAACAUAAUAGGUAGACAAAUAUUUCCAAGUUGACAGUAUACAUGAAUAUUCUACCACUCAGGUACUUUGUACAUAAUAUUAUGAUUUUAUAGCUCAAUUUUUCAAAAAAUGCAAAUCAUUUUGAAGAUUUAUCAUGUUUGUAUGAAAUAAGCUGUGAUAUAUUGCAUAAUUAUUUGCAAAUUAAUCAAUAUCAUUAUAUUUAUAAUAAAAGUUGUUAUUUCUCAAAGUUAUUCCAGAUGAU